AAUAUGUACUUCUUCCAUGCCAAAAUCGAUAUUUUAAGGCUCGACCCGGCGGUCUCCCUCUUCGCACCGCCCACUCCUGCCACGGAAAACUUCCUGUUCACGAAGCACAUACAGGUUAUGUCUACCCGAAGAUGUAUCACUAAAUAAAAUGAACGGCACACGAGUCCAUUUCACAGCAGACUCCAAAAUUUUCUUCUUCGCACGUUCCUUCUUCACUAUUGAAUCACUACGGGAAGUCUCGAGACUGAUGAUCGGAGGUGUUCGGCCGCGUGCCGAAAAGUACCGAGUCUCGUUCUAUGUAGUUCCCUCCGUAUCGAGAUUUAUAAACGCGAUAAAAAGGGCCGUAAGUAGAAGAGUAAAAUUAUUCGCGGGCACGAUGCACAGAAUAUGAUUAAUACUAGGAAAAUUAAAUAACACGCACGUACGCGUUAUCAGCAAAUGUAUAAUAAUGGAAAUUUCAAUUGAGCCGAAAAUUUAAACGGCGUCAACUCGUUCCUAGGUUGCGUUUCUCCUUCAAACACAUGAGGUUAUUCUAUAAUUUACUGUCCUUUGUUCAAGGGUUUUUAUUAUUUUAUAUUAAGAUCGACGUGUGUGUAUUUAAAGUACGCGUUUAGAACAAUGUAACGUGUUAAACCCGAAGAGGGGAGAGGCAAAUCAACGAAGACCUGAAGACGAGCGUACCCUUUUGCAAGGGACGCGACGUAGACUGAUGCAGGCUAGUCCUUCUCGCACGACCUACGAAUCGCGAUCCGUGGCCCCCUACCCGUUUCGCUCUGCAACUAAAGAGCGACAGGACCGUGCACUGAUUUCAAGAGUACCCUUCGAUAUAUUACGAUUUAUAAGAAAUUCUGAUAUUAAUAACACGUUUCGUAACAACAACAUGGAAUUUUUACGAAUACAAUAUUUAGCGCUUCGUCGGAUCUAUUAUCCGUUGCCUAUUUGUUAGAAUAAAAAUUAAAGUUAAAGUUUUCUUGUUUGAACAAUGUUAAACAAGUAUAAACGUGUCUUUUUAAUUCUUAAUUUCCGGUACAAGUAUAUAUGACGCCAUUUACUUUGUAAAUAAAUUUUUGUGAUUUUUCUUGAUUCUUAUUCUGUUUGAAAUAAUUAAAAAAUGAUGCGUAAAUGUUUGUAAGACGGCCCUGAAAAGUAGUCAAACGCCAAACCCAUACCACAGCCAUGCUACACCACGCCAAGUCGAAAGUACGAACCGCGUGCGCAACCCAGUGGAGAGUGUAAAGCCCUGCGCAUGCGUAAUGGACGUCGACACGGCAGACCCUUCAACUCGCAUGAAUGCAGUAGGCGCAGCCCCAUGCCUCUCGAGGGUAAAGUGACGUGCAGUCUUGUGCAUGCGCAUACAUAUCUCAUUCGCCUUAACUUUAGAACAUGUCACAGCCGUUAGUCUGUAAUUCGUACUACUGCCGGAACUGUACCCUUUUACAUGGUAUAGAUAUCUUUUAAAUAUUGUAAUUAAAGUAUUUAUACAUAUAUUUAAAAACUUUAUACUCUUUUUCAUAAAUUAUACAAUCAAAACUAACGUAAUUAUUAUUGAAAUAUUAAACGUUUUUUAACGAUUCUGGAUAGCCAAAUUAGCUACAUCCUCAAUUUGGCGUUAGUGAAAUGCACGUGAACGAGAACAGUGGCGUAGCUUUGAUAUGCAUAUGUAAUAGAUAAACUACAUUACUGUUCUACUGGAAAAUUUCAUAUGUUCCUUUUUUCCUGAUAUGUUAAUUAUACGAGAUAAAGUAGAGAGCUCAAAUUCUAUCAUUUCUAACUGAAAAUUUCUCAUAGAAAAACACAUAAUAACUUAACGAAUGAAAAUGUAGAGCUGAUUAUUAGUAGCAAGAAAAAGGGAGAAGGGGCAUAUUUCUUAACGACAAUUAACAGGAUGAAGAAAUGGAGGAAAUAGCAAGAAAAGACGAGUCACGAAGAUGGACGAGCGUAUGCAUGCGUAGGCGAAAAUCCACGAGCGCGUGGGUACAGAAACACGAGAGGCGUGCUUGACUUGGUUCAGACGAGGAACAAGAUCCGCGGAAUCGUGUGUAUAGGUUAGGUAGGUAACCCAGUUUCGCCGGUGCACCAGGCCAAGCUGCAGCAACGCCGUUCGGCGAUCGAUACUUAUAUGCAGCCGGUACUACCCACAGCCUAGAUUCGCUUGUCUAGGAUAGGUGCAAGAAGGGGAUUGCGUGACCUACAUCUCAAGAAUAAGUAUAACAAAAAUAUGAUUUAGGCUGCCAAAAUCAGGGAUUAUUCGUCAGCAAAGACCGAUCGAAGGGAAAAAAGCAUAUAGCUAUUACGAUGAUACAUGGACAUAAGCUAAUCAAACCAAUUUUCAACAACACGAUACAUUUAAUUUCAAACUGUAGGUAUAAAAAUUGUACAUCUUAAGAAUCAUCUCUAAGAAUCGUGUUUCUCGAGAGAGAAGAAAUAAAUAAACAUAUUGUUCUUGACUUUGAAAUGAUCUUCCCGAAGCAAUAUUCAAGAUAAAAAGUGAACCUAAGUUACGUUUCGUUUUUAUGUUUCUACUUUGUGACGCGUCCACGUAUAUCGUAUACCUAACGUCUGCGUCGCAUAUUUUCGAGGGAGGGUUAAAGUUGAAACAACCGAAGAGAAGGGAGGGAGAAACGUCUGGGACAUUUAGGUGAAAGAAAAACCGAAGAUUUCGGGGAUGAGAGCUAGACCUGUAACCUCUGGUAACCUUCGGUUGUCUCGGUUCAACCAUUUCGCCCAGUCGAGACGCGGUAGUUCAAAGUCCUCUGGUGAAAACAUAGCCAGUGACUCAUGCUUGCCAAAAGAAUUCAAGGAAACCAGGCAUGGCUGUAAACUUUUCCAAAGUACACAAUGAUUCACUAAUAAUUAUGCCUUUAAAAUGAAACCCCCAGCAAUUUUCAAAUUCUCCAUAAUAGUAUUAUUAAAUGGCAUCAAAAACGGAUUAAUUAAAAAAAAAAAAAAAUUAAUUACACUAAAUUAAAUGUAGAAAGUGAAAUUUUUGUCUUUCUUUGGGCCGACAAAAGAAUGCAUCUCAUAAAAUUGCAGAGGAUGGUUGCGGUAGUUGAGGAACGAGAAAGAAAGUAGACAGAAGGUGCACACGGACCAUAGAAGUCAGUUUCCAGGGGUCUUUGAGCCCUCGAGCCGUUGACCUUGGAAAGGUAGCAUGGAGAUGUUGUGGUGUGAGAGCAGUAGUACUCUACUCUCUACGUGGGCGUUCGGUAGGAGGUUACAAGUCUGCGAGAGGAAAAAGGCCGGUCACAACGCAACGUUAGGAAAAGGAGUAACGUGGACCAACGAACGUCUCGACGAAGACAGAGGGUCGAUAUUUACCGGCUUUCCCUCUUUCCCCCAGCCGGCCAACGACCUACCACCCUUGCGUAUCUCCUAAACUCGCUCUUCUCUACCCUCUAUCGCUUUCUCUCUUAUGUUCAAUUUCCCUCGCCCUUGCCUCCUUCCCAGACGUCUCCCCUCUUUCUUGCCACCCUUAGCAGUGUCGCUACGUUACACGUUUAUUGCGUUCUAACCCUGAAACGACCCAACUUGUGUCCCUUGAGACGUCUAACUACCAAGAAACAUAUCGUGGUCAAGAACAGGGACUUGAUCGUGGUUCAUCGAAUACCCGUGAGCACGAAAGACUUUUAUGCUUCUUUAUUACUUUUAUACUUGUAACUAUGCGGUUGGUAACAAAUUUUGGAAGAGAUAAUUUUAAUACACUCGAAUUAGAAUAAGAUAUACUCAAAAUAUACGAAAUACAUCCGUAUUUAAACUUACUGCCAUAACCUGGCGGGAACAAAGUUGCACUGCCACCUGUAGGUAAAUACUUUCAACGAAUACAAGUCAACUCGGGCGGUAAAAAAAAGAAAUAAACCUAGAAAAUUUUCAGUGAAAUAAAACGGUGCGCAAGUAAAAUAAUAGAAAAAAGGUGCAUAAACUGGUUUGGAGUUAGAACCUUCUAUUUAUUAUAUUAUUAUACGUAGUAAUAAAGUAAAGAGAAAAUACAUUCUGACUCUUAGGAAAUAUUUCCUUCUGUGCCACGACCCUUGUUAAGCUUCUAAACUUUUAUUGGCCAGUUUUAUUGUACUUCUAACGACCAGUUUAUGAGUAAGAAUCUCAAACAACGGAAUCGGGUAACACCGAAGCCUAACGGUGAACAAUUAGAGAUAGCAGAAAAAGUGGUGUUGACUCACUUAAAGUUGCAUUAAUGUUGGAUAUACAGCAGGGCAAUAAAAGCAAGAAUUCAACAACUAUUUCAAUAGAGUAUACGACACUUAAUCACAAUUUAAAGGAGAAAGUUCAUGAAUCAACUUUAAAUCUAUUGUUCUGUUUGAAUGAAAGAUAAUGAAACAAAAGAAAUUUAGAAAAACAGAAUAUUUAACUUGAUAAACAUUAAUAUAUAUAACGUUUCAUUCUAUCCAUUGAAGUACUUUUAUAGCAAGUAACGAUUCGUUUACAGUAAACAUUCCAUAAAAUCACUAUAGUAACUUGUAUCUUUUGAAUCUGAUAGUUAUGUAUGUAGUUAAUACAUAUACGUAAGUAUAUCUAUAAAUUAAAGAAAAAAGAAAAAAUUAUUCGACCAUGCGUGAACGUACACUUUCUAUCAGGAACUGUUUAGAAUCUGGUUUACCAACCAAUGUACAACAGGCACGUGGUUAAAUGUCACAAUUCUAAGGCGCUAUAAAUUAAAUCUGAAUAAAUUAUAUAACGUGUAAUAAGCUGUCAGUACCGCGGAACGAUAUUUUAACGACAGAACGUUUCAUGCAACGAAGUUACAAGAAAGGAUAAUAUUGUGAAAAUUCAAAAUAAAUUAUAUGAUUUUGAAAGUAAAUUGUAACUUUGAAGAGAAAGUAAUGGCUGGAAAUUUAGAAUAUCGCAUCUGGUUAAUUGAUUUUCAAAAUUAUUCGUAAUUAUCGGCGUGUUGAUAAAAUUAUACGCAUCUUUAACAGGUAUAAAAAUUUUUCAAAUCACAAAUUUGAAAACAAGCCGCGAGCCGACAGAACUUAAUAUUCAGAUCUGAAAACAAUGCAAAGUAAAAUGUAUAUUCAUGAGACGUAUUCGAAUCGUCUGACGAUUAUACUCUUUAUUGUGAAUAAACGGAAGCAAAUUCCUUGCGAAUUCCAACGUAACGGGUUUCAUACAUUUACAGAAACUUUCUACAACGAAAUAUCAUUUCUGUGAGGAUUCAAAAUGCUUGAAGCGUUACGAACCGAAAGAAUUCUUACUUAUUUAACGCGUGUAUCGAAUCGAAAAAUCUUCAAUUUAUAAACGAAGAUUACAAAGUAUCUAAAUAAUAAUCUUGUAAAAAAUUAGUUCUAAAUCAACGACGUCUAUGUCCUAUCUAUGUACCUAACCUAACUUUCUAUAGUUUAUUUAUACCUAUUCGUGGUUAUAACGAAUAACGAACCGAAAGAAGAAAUAGCAACGAAAUGCAAGGUAGCUGUAAAAGCACCACGGUCAUUUCAAAAGCGAGAAGAGAUCGGCAAGAAGCAAGCAAAGUACGGUUAGUUUCUCCCCGGAUGUCUGAUGGCCUCUUUCUCGUACAAGCGGCCUUGUCAGGAAUGCACAUUUUCUGCCGGUACACGCCGUUUACUUCGGCUUCGAUUCGAAUCAAUGCACAGACCACCUUUCACCUAUCGUCUAUCGUUUAUCGUCUCUUAAUCAGGCGACAGUGCUCGUUAUCGUUCAACAUCAUCGCGAUGCACUUCUUGUCGUUCGAAUCAUCUCAGGCAUUUAGUAUGGACGCGUUCGGUUUCAACUUUCAACUCUCAACCUUUUUCAGGAAUUUUACGUUCACGAUACACGUGAUACGCCAACUGGUAGAGUAAUUCGUCAGCUAACCAGUGAUUACUGACUGAUGCGACAUCUUCCGAAAUUCAUCGCAACUUUCAUUUCACAUCUGACGGAGGAUAAUAGUUUAAAAGUACUUGUUCGUUUCGCAUAAAUUUACUUUUGCAUGCGAUAGAUUAAUAAUUAAAUAUGGAAAAAAGAAACGAACCAAUCCACCCUCUUUCACUCACACACGCGCACAGACAGUUGUUUAUUAUUAUUAUUUAUGUAAAUAAAAAUCUUUGUAACAAUGAAAUAUUAUAAAAAUCA